UACGUAGGGUGCGAGCGUUAAUCGGAAUUACUGGGCGUAAAGCGUGCGCAGGCGGCGCGUUAAGACAGAUGUGAAAUCCCCGGGCCUAACCUGGGAAUUGCAUUUGUGACUGCACGGCUAGAGUGUGUCAGAGGGGGGUAGAAUUCCACGUGUAGCAGUGAAAUGCGUAGAUAUGUGGAGGAAUACCGAUGGCGAAGGCAGCCCCCUGGGAUAACACUGACGCUCAUGCACGAAAGCGUGGGGAGCAAACAGG
rnacentral:rRNA from 1 species